rnacentral:siRNA from 1 species
AUUUAACCUGGUGUGGGUUCCGCC